rnacentral:misc_RNA from 1 species
GAUGAAGAACGCAGCGAAAUGCGAUAAGUAAUGUGAAUUGCAGAAUUCAGUGAAUCAUCGAAUCUUUGAACGCACAUUGCGCCCCCUGGUAUUCCGGGGGGCAUGCCUGUCCGAGCGUCAUUACAACCCUCAAGCUCAGCUUGGUAUUGGGCCCCGCCGACCCGGCGGGCCCUAAAGUCAGUGGCGGUGCCGUCCGGCUCCGAGCGUAGUAAUUCUUCUCGCUCUGGAGGUCCGGUCGUGUGCUCGCCAGCAACCCCCAAUUUUUUUCAGGUUGACCUCGGAUCAGGUAGGGAUACCCGCUGAACUUAAGCAUAUCAAUAAGCGAAGGA